UUUUUUUUUUUUUUUUUUUUUGUGUUUGGGGGGGGGGGGGGGGGGGUGGUUUCUUUUAGGUUUGAUUUACCAUUUUUUCAUUAACAGAAAUAUAUUUUGAGGCUAUAAAAUCAUAUGUAAAAAAUCCAGAUGUUGAAAUUACAUGUAUUCAAACUUGUUUUUAUAUACAGUGAAUAACCAUAAGUAGCCUACCAAAUAAAAAAUAAUAAUAAUAAGCACACAAGUAAACAUUAAAAUUAAAUGGAUUUAAAUUAGCCAUAUAAGAGCUUUUUGUGUUUCCACUUUUUAUUACGUUAAUGCUGCGUUUGGAUUGGCCAUUUUUUAAAAAACAAGUUUUUUAAAUACAAUGCUAUAGUAAUACACAAUAAUUCAAAAAACCUCAUCCAUAUAAUAUAUCAAAUAUUUCAAAAAAUUUUUAUAGUAAAAAUUUUUCAUAUACACUGCUACAGUAAAAAUUUUCAAAAACACUCCAAAAAACAACUAAUUCAAAUGGAAAAUUUUCACUCUAUUGAGAAUUGGGAUUAACAUUAUAUGAGUUUUUAGUGAACAUGGCUUAUGAAAUUAUAUUUAAAUACUUUAGAGAGAAAGUAGGCAGGAGUUAACAAAAUGAACAAACAACAAUCCGUUCUUUUUACUCAUCAAAAGUAAUAAAUCUCACAACAAGCAUUUAAAUUUAACUUAUUGGUGCCUGUAAUCUUUGGUAAGUGAAAUAGGAAUACAAGACGAUUGACCGUACUUGAACUAAAGAUGAAAGGAUUCCUCAAUCAAUCAGGAGACAAGAAUCUUGGAUGACAUUUAAUUCUUUCUUAGAUUCCAACAUCCAGCUUUUAAGUUUUUCUUUUUCAUCCCUAAUGAAUAAAUAAUGAUUGCUAGUGUGGUUGCACAGGCUGUUGUUGAGGUUUCAGAAUCUACUGCUAUCAAAUACUACUAACUACUAACUACUAGUAGUAGUAGAGGAUUGAAUCAUCAGCUAUCCAACAAGUUGUUGAUAAAAAAGAGACGACUGGGAAUAAAUAAAUAAAUAAUACUUUUCAUGCAAUAUCUAAUACUCCAACCACUUACCAAGGUUUUCAUUCAAGCUUUUAACUUACAAAAAAAAAAAAAAGAGGAGCAGAUUGGAGGAUGUCUUGAUUAUUAUUGGCCGAAAGUGCCCAAGUCAGAGAGCACCUCUUUCAUUUUCUUUUGUUGAGAAGCUGAUGAGAUUGGGUUAUCCAGCAGGAUUGCCACCUUAGCCAGAAACUGAAAUCAUAGUGUAUUUAUUACUGACAUUUUGGUAUUCCGAGGUCAAGUCUCUCUCUCCUACAUCUCUGCCUCUCUCUCUCUCUCUCAUUUCUUUUUAGUAGUAGUAUUUGAUCGGUUGCGUUGCGUGUGGAAAAUCUGAACCCCACAGCCAAGAAAACCUCUACACUCAAAGCAAAUUAGUAUACUAUAGUAAGUAAUAAUAAUAGACCAUCCCAUUAUAUUCCCAUAUGCUUGUUCUGUUAGCCCUCCAAUCUUUGAAUUUUCUGUGGAAAAUCUGAACCCCACAGCCAAGAAAAACCUCUACACUCAAAGCAAAUUAGUAUACUAUAGUAAGUAAUAAUAAUAGACCAUCCCAUUAUAUUCCCAUAUGCUUGUUCUGUUAGCCCUCCAAUCUUUGAAUUUUCUAAACACUAGCGCUAUGUCUUUUAUUGGAAUGACGACUGGAGUUGCGAAAAGGCAGUUUCCAUUUGUUUAAUGGAAGCAUGCAAUUUCUGACAUUCUCAAUUUCUUGGAAACAAACCACCAACCCCCUACUCCCACCUCACCUCCUGCUCAAAGUGAAAUUCCCAAUUCAUGUGCUCAUGAAAGCAUCACAAAGACUAUCUAUCGAGCCAUCUUAUCUUCUCUUAUCUAAAACGGCAUCUUCGUUUAAAUGGUUUAUCAAAUUGCACGCUCCACAAGCAAAAUGCAGUACUCCACUAGCUUCCAAGACAAAUGGAAAUCUCCACCCUGCCCUGUAUUGCUGAUGAUCUUCUCUGCUUUUGCCCAGCUAAUGAAGUGGUUGGUUAUUUAGGAACCCACGAAAAAUUAUCUUCAUUGCACAAGCGUCACUCCAAUUUGAAGGAGCUGUUCAACCAAUUUCACUCCCUAAUGAUAUGAUCUGAUACGAAACUUGUCUGUUAGUUGUCAUGAAUAAGAGAAAAAUUGUGAUGCACUGAUCAUUUUAAUUGGCCCUUUGUUCCACCAACUCCAGCCUUAGAAUUAUGGAGCAUCUCCUUCUCCCAAGCAUCUGUGGGCACGUUACACUUUCUUGGAGGGCAUUCCAACCAAUGCAUUGAUAAAACUCUCAGACGAAUAAAGGAAAAAAAAGCAUUUAGUAGAGGUCACCAAUCUCCCAAAAGGAAAUCGAAGGAAGGGUUGUGAAGAUGAUGAAAGAAUGAGUGUUCAUCAUCGCCUCAAACCUCUUCUUUUCCUUUCCGACCUCUUAAACGAGAAGAGCAACAAAUUUCCUCUUUUCAUAAUUUCUGCCCUCUUCAUUUUCUUCGCUAAGAUCGUUCCCUAGCAACUUCAUUUUUUUUCUUAUCCUAUUGAGCAGGUGAUGGACAAUCUAAAACAGUGGGAGCAAAAAGAAAUGAUAAAUUCCAAUCUAAAAGCCUUGUACCGUAAAAGGAAAAAGACUUCAACUUCCAAUAAUCAAUUGAAUACCUAAUGAAAAUGUCAAAACAUUCGUUCUGUUUAUACUUAGUCUAAAACAAUCGUAUCAGUCCACAGUAGCAUAAGAAGAAAAUACAUCCCUGGAAGUUUUACAAGGAGCGGGCAGAGGAUGUAUGAUCUGCUCAAACACUUCUGAGAGCCAAUCGCCCCAACUCUUUCAGAUGGAGGCAAUUUUAUUGCCCAGAACAAUUGGUCUUAUUCAUUUAGCCAGUCCCGUUGUUUUACAAAUGGGACAUAAAUUCUUGUGUGUAAGCCAUUGUUUAAUACACUCGGCAUGAAAAUCAUGCCCGCAGUCCAGAGAACCAAGAUCUUCACCAUCACCAUAUUCUUCCUGCAAAUAAUAAGGUAGGUAGAACUUAAGGCCCCGCUUAUAAGAGCCAUAAAACUGCCAAAUCAACAGCAAAAGCAAAAAUCGUAUCUUGCAGAAACCCAGAAUGCAAAGACUUGGAUGGUUUACCUGACAUACACAGCACGGCUCUGUUUCAACCUCAACUGUUUUAUUGCUUACAUACUUCCGUUGUUUCAACUGUUUCAAAAUGGUUUCUUCACUCAAACCAGUGCUCACAUUUCCAAUACGCUCUUCUAGUGCCAAUAAUUCCUGUAACGGUGCAGGAAAUGAAGUUUUAAGAAUGUGUAGCACAAAGCUCAUGAUACAAGAUCAAGAAAUUACUGCCUAGGUCACCUCAUAUGACAUGUUAUCAACAUCAAGCCGCAUAUCCCUAUGGCGAUCAUGAAAAUCAGCCAUCCCGAAAAAGACUGAUUGGUCAAGAACCAUGACAUCCUGUCACAAACAAAAACAUUCAUCAAAUAACUAAAAACAAUACGUUGAGCUUCUCACAAUCUACUGCCCAAAAACUAGACAAGACAAAAACUAGCUUGCCUUGCCUUGCCUGUGCCACAAAAAGGAGGACGAAGCAGGAGUACUAUUCUCAUGACACCUCACCCUUUUAUACAAGGUAUCAGUCGCCUUCUAAAAGCUGAUGCAAAUUAUUUUUUGAUCUAUCAAGAGUAACAUUUUGAAGUAUCAAAAUAUCACCUGUUAGUGUGCAUCUAAAGGAGUGCGCGCAAUCUUCCGAAUUUUUUGCUAUCAAAUAUCUAAGUUAUUGUCCUGUGCUAUUUUUUGCACCAACUACAAAGGUGAUUUCUAUCCAAUUAAACAUUCAAUGUAGCCUGCAAUUUGCUGUCUUCCACAGGACAGAGAAUGAAUACUUAAUCAACCAGAGUAUCACUACAAAAUGCUGGAUAAUGUAGGCAAAACUUGUCUAUUUAUACCUAGAAAAUUAUCGUAGCAAUGUCAAAAUACAAAAGCUUUCAAUUAAUGUCAAAAUCUAACCUCAAAUCGCAAGCCCUCUCCUCCCCUGCGCAUGAGAUCCAAGACAUUGCGUAUCUGCUAAUUAGCCAAAAAGAAAACACGAUUAUUGACAUUUAUAUGACGAUAUGCCAAAAAACAUAAAGAAAUCUUCAUCAUGUUUGAAUGAUUCAGCUGCAACGAAGUGCCUUAAAGGCAAGAGUGCUAUCUGGAGAUACGAUCACAACAUUAAGUGCCAAGAUGAAAUUCAAUAGAUAACUUGCAGAAAAGAAAAAAAUCAUAUCAGAGUUGUUAACCAUAGUUUUAAAAUAGGACAUUUAACAGACUUAAAUGAUAUACUAAUAAACUUCAGGAAAAAGAUGGCUAACAAUUAAGAAUAUUGGAAAACAAACGGGAAAAGAAAACAACGAAAAAGUAAAGCAACAUGAUGUACCUCAGACAUUAGCCUGUUUCUUCCUUCACUGGCAGCAGCCAAAUUUCUUAAUGAAUAAGAUCCAAAAGCAGUAUCAAGGUGUCUCUCCAACAAUAUUGCUGACCUUGAACUUGCUGCAUGGCGACCCUGACUACCAGAUCCAGAUGAAAGUGGCAUGUCUUGGAGGACGAGGGACCUGUCCGCAGUGAAGGAUAAUUGCUGCUGUGACCUCCAGAGUCGCUAUCAGCUGAAGAUGACGAAGAUCUGCGAACGAAUUCUGAUAGUCUCCUUGGAUACUGAGAAGGAUUCCGAUGGGGUGUCCAAGUAGGGGUAGAUGAGUGGACAACUGCACUAGAGCCAGUGCGGGAAGUUGAUGCAGCGUUUCCAGGAUUACUGACACUUCCGCCAGCUAAACUCCAAUUAGGAGGGUUUUGUGAUGAAUUUCGUAUCUCCGUUGGUGGUACAAACAUGGGAUGUUCUGAAAUGUGCCUUGCCACACUGGAUGAACUAGACUCCUCAUAUGGUACAGCAUCUAUAUCUCCAGAAAUGGCAAAACUAGAUGAGCUUCCAGUUCUUGAGCUAGAUGCUCCAUUCCACCUGGAAUGUGGGUUUCGACGCACAGAUGACACAUGCACUACAACUGACUGACCUUGAGAACUUCCACUGUCGGUCGUAGGUGCAGGUCUCACAUCCAAAGAAUUAUUACGGGGGAGCAACCUAAAUGAAUGCUGAGCGGAUGAACUAUUAGGAUUUCCAACAUCAGUCUCUGUGGAGACUAUAUUAUUGCGUGAAGAAUCUUGUUGAUGUGAGGCAUUUAUCCUCAAGCGAAAAUUUCUGCGGGAACUCUCUGCAGUUCUUGAAGCAGUUAAUGGAGGAUGACUAUCAGAAGAUGCUCGUCCAACACUUAAUCCGAGUCUCGGGAUUACCUGCUCUGGUAGAUUGACCGUUGAGUUGUUUUCUGAAGGGGCAGCUAUACCUGUGCUGCUGGAUGCAUUAUGCCUAGCUGGUACUGAAUGCCAUAGAUUGCUCUCAGCAUGUUGAACCAAGUUUGAACUUCCACUCCCAGAAGAUUGUCCAGCAUUUCCUUCCAGUGUUUUUCUUUUACACGAAAACCUUCGACCAUCCAAUGAACAGCCAGGCCUCCCAUCAGCUUCCUCCACCAAAAAUCCACCAGUUCCAGAAGAAUCCCAAAAGGAUUGGAAGAAUUACUAGCAGAUGCAUCCGCUCAUUCACUGAUUCACUAGCUUUGAACGCAUUUUGACAUUCCAAAACUUGGCAAUCAUCAUCCUCAUCUACAAUAAUAUCUGAGUUCAUAUUCAGAUCCUGCCGAAUGGAUUCAGAGCCUGAAUUUUGCAUAAAGAAAGUCCCACUUGCACUUCAUUGCUGUGCAUAUUUACACCAACAUUAUUUAAUGAAAGAAUAUUAGAGGGCCCAUAUUGCUGUCCUUCUGCGCCAAGAGCUGCACCAGCACAAACAUUUAUUGGAGAUGACCACCCAUGUUCGUUUUUCCGAUCAGUUUCACUAACCUCGCCUUGUUCCCCUCUAGAACUGCUUUCACCGAAAUCCCAUCCACUUAAAUUCUGCCCUGGUUGGUUCACUGCAUUUAGAAAUCCAACACUUGUGUCUGUCGGCGACAUCAAAUAAUCAGGUAUCCUGUUUUGUGACGAAUUCCUUAUGCUAUUCCAGUGCACCUGCUGGUCUAAGCUAGUAUCGCUUGAUGUUGAUCCAUGAUCAAUGCCUAAAACUUCAGGUAAGGAACCAACAGCACUCCUUUGCCCUUGCAUUAGGGCUGAAUGUGCUUCUUCAAGAUUUCUGAACAGCUCCAAAAAAUGCUUACGCAAACAGAGCUCAGAAAGCAGUUCUUCAGGUAAUCUGAGAUUGUCAGUAAACAAAUUCACAUGAUUAUGAUUUGGCCAUAAAAGAGAAGCCAAAGAUAAGAGAUAAUACAACAGCAGAACUGGUAUUGCAGAAUGACGUUAAAUACAAAGUCUUUCAGUGCCACCACAAAAAUGUAUGCAUCUAACCACUAAGAUGCUUUUGAAAAAUUAUGUACUAAAUGUGGUUUGUUACAGACCUUAACUGCCAGCAUUCUAUGACCAUGCAGUCUUACCAUCAGCAUUCAGAUUACAGAACACAAAAUCAGAAUGCCAGCCUCACCAUUUCAGUAUUUGUUGCAGAACACUGACAGUGAAACAUGCCGGUGAAGGUUUCAUGCAUGCCAGCCAAAUGUUCUAACUUUCAUGACAUAAAAACUUUACCGCACCUAAAAAGCAAUGCAGGCAUGCAUUGUUCAUUGGCCUCGAGCAAAGCAUUGAGAUAUCUAGGUAUGUGCUAAAGGUUUGUUAGUCUGCUAACAACAGUAAGGUUGAUUACAACCAAAACUCUUGAAUGCAAGUUGCAAAUAUAUCAUUCUUCCAUCAUCCCAACAACUUGAAGCAAAAAAAUGAGGAUACAAACUUAGCUAACCUAGCAACAACUUAAAGCACGAAUAUGAAUUUACAAGCUUUUUGUUCUGAUAUCCCAAUCUUUACACAAAAGAGAAGACACAACGAAGAAUCACCAACCAUAAAAUGACAUUGCACUAAAGCGUUACUUAACAAUAUGAUCACACCCGAUGUGUAAAUAGACGAAGAAAUUAAUAAAAGCAAACUGCAUCAAAAAUAGAUUUUUUGUAGAUAAUAAAACUAGGAAGAUUCUAUUAUUAUUUUUCUUGGAAAAGCCUUAAAAUCAUUAAUCAAAAUGGAUUGGUCAGAGAAGAAAACCACCCAGAAUCAGCUCUCAAUCCAACCAUCAAUGAGUCAAGUACCAAAAGUCAUAACUUUUUUUUUUCAAAAUUAUAGGCAUUUGCUCUGAACAAGAAGUAUUUGGAAACAAGAAAGAUGCAAGGAAAUGAAACGAGGAAAAAAAACUAGAAAAUAAUAAAAAUUAUCAAAAAGUCAAGAAUCAAUAGAGGAGGAUGAACCAAAAAUGGUAUGAUUCUAUUACCUAGACCAAAAAAGAAUAGCAGCCCAGAACGAACAGCAACCAAGACUGGAUUUUUAUCAGACAAACAGCAGCAGAUUAAGCUGUAGAUCUACAGUCAAGACCUGAAAUGCAAAAUAACCGCCAGAAAUCAGCGCUGUCAAACAAAAAUAACAAAAAAAAAAACAAUCUUUCCAUCCAAAUUUAAGAUUCUUUUUCCUCUAUCGGCCACAAAGAAAACAAGAUAUUAAAAGAAAAAAAGCCCAAAACAGACAGACCUCACUGCUGAACAAUCUGUGAUAGAUGAAGAGAUACAGAUGGAGAAAAGGAGAGAGAUAAGAAUAAAGAGAAAAGGUUUUGUAAGAAGAAGAUGAGGAAGAAAUGGUGGUUAUGGGUGUGAAAGAGGAUGGAAGAGAGAUGGGUGUGCUAUUAGCAUUUAGCAUUGGGGGGGUAGAAUAAUGAGGCUGAUUAAAGCCAGACCAACAGUAAUCCUUUGCUAUUUCAGUCAAUUAUGCAUUUUUGACAUUUCAGAAAAUUAAAAAGUCAUGUUAAUCACGAUCAGAAGCAACUGAAUUGAAUGCAAGAAAUGUCAAGGAUGGAAAAUGAAAUGGGACAUGAGAAAGAAAAUACUACUAAUAGAAAUCGGUAUUCGGUAAGGCAGUGGCAGUAAUAGUAGCGGUAGAAAACAAAACCAAAAACUGAAAAGAAAAGAAAAGAAGAAAAAGGAGAGGAGUUGUCAUGUUCAUGCAUAUGUGGGUUAAAAGGCCGCUUACCAAAUGGCUUUUUUUCCUCAUGUCUGAUGUCUCCCCUCUCUUUUUCUAUUGCCCUUAAACGUUAAUCGCUGUCUUGAAAUUUAAAGCUCUUCUUUCAAGGAAGGGGUUGGAGGGCUGGACGCCUAAAGCCUAAAGGGCAUAGUACGAGUACUAUAGUUUAAUAAGAGCAGUAAAUAUUUUGGUUGAAUGUUGAAAUGUUUUUCUUUUUUGGUUGGUCUUUUCUGUCAACUCAACUGUGUCUCCCCAAUGCAUCUCCACGCCGAGCAGCUGGCCCCUGUUUGGCAUCUCAUAAUCACAUGUCCGUCUUUGCACUUCGUUUCUUUAAAUUUAAAGGCCUAAUGAACCUGCUUCUUGGUUUCACACUUGUGGGCUGUGGCAGUCUUUUUUUCUUUUUUCUCUCUCUUUUCUCUUGGGAGGUGUUUUUGUGCUGGUGGGAGUGUUGGGGGGGGGGGGGGGCGGGAGGAGUGGUUUUUUUUCUUCUUCUUCUUUUUUUUUUUUUUGUUCUUUAAAAAUAGUAGUUUUGGUGAAACUAGUGGAAUCCUAUUAUUAUGUUACCAUACUUGUUUCAUAGUUUUUUAAUUGUUCAUUUUAAUGCUGAAUUAAUUCCUGCUCUGCAAUAAUUAAAAGAUAAGAAAUGUAUAAACAACGAGGAUACAAAUUUUUAGUCAAUUAGACGUGAGAAUCAGCAAUCUUUUCCUUUUUAAUGUACGCACAAAAUGUUAAUGGGCGAUAUUAUCGAAAGCAACUAAUCGUAUCAGAAAUAUAUUAAUUCAUCCCGUAGGUAGGUGUAAGUAAGAAAUUUGAAUUUUUUUUUUUUUUUUUGAGCAGGAGAUUUUGAACUCUGAACAAGCUUUGAUUGAGUUGAGUUGAAUCAAACAAAUACGAGAUGGAGGUCUCCUUUUUCCCUUUCAAAUUGCAGUAUUGGAACAAUCAAACCAAUAGUAGUAUUAGGAAACGGCUGGGUGCUCCAAUGACCCCAAGAGGAAAACGAAAGAAUGGAAUGCGUCUCCAAUUAGCUCAUUCAAAUUUGUCCAUUUUAUUCAAAACACGUGAAAAGCAUGGCAAACUAGUAGUAUCAAUUUAACACAACUAUACAGCUUCUUUUCUCCAGCACUUUAACGAAAAAUUAGCGUACAUGAAUACAGGGUGCAUACCAUGAUUUGUGGGGUAUUUUCCAUGUUAUUCAUUUAUUUUAGCACACAUACAUCCUAGCAAGUACUCAAAAUUUAUUUUUCUUUUUAUUCAUAAGCGUCAGCUUAUCAAUUAUUAGUAAUUAAAUUAGUCUUAAGGACACAUAAAAGCCCAAAAGGAAAAGAACAAAGAGAAGGAAAGAAAAGUGGUGUAAACAGAAGGAUUUGGUCACAGCAAAAAUUGUCUCAUUACAAAAAAGAUAGAUACCUGCAAGUACGUAUAUAAAUGGUCCAACUUUGUUUUAAUAAUUAAUUUUAAAAUUAAUCCUGAAUGAAUGACGUCUACGUAACAUUUAAAUUUAAAAUUUAACUUUUACGUAUAUACAUAUAUAGUAAAUUCAAUGCUGAUAACGUACAUAUAGUCGUCGGUAAGUAAAUAUGUAUAAGAUUUUCUCUUCAUUUUGACCCGUAAGUAAGUAGGCCGUAAGGCAGCUCCUAUAAUCUCACCAUACCACGCAAGGGGCGCAUAAACAUACACAGCUGCUGGGCACGGCAGCAACGUCGCAUCAUCCAAGUCGAGUGGGGCUCUUUAUUCUUCUUCCAAUUCCAAGUCUUUGGUUCUAUAAAUAUGCUCAUCCUCCUUUCCUUCUUUCCUUUCUCUCUCACACUCACCGCCUCACCUCUCUAGUCUUUGAUUUCUUUCUUCUUUCAAUCAAAUUCAAAGGUGGGCUUGCUUUGCUUUGCCUUUUUCCUUUGUGUUUUGUAUUGUUGGGUUUAGGUCACAAGUCACGAGACAGAAAAGCAUAUUAGCAUUUGCCCAUUAGCAAUUGGCAAUUAGCAAGCUUCCUAUCUUUUUCCAAAUGGUCUACUCAAACCACCAUUGCCUAAUAAAUAAAAAUAUAUGUGUUACAUAAUUACAAGAGGAUAAGUGUGAUUCCAUUCCCUGCCAGAAGAAGGAUAAGAGUCUAUAAUGUGAUGAAAUUUCCCGUGAGAUUAUAUGCUUGUGAGGUCAGACAAGGCUGUUAGCUUAGUGUUGAAUAACUUGUACAUGACAAAUUUUGAGGUGCCGACAUGCGCCCAACCAUAUCAAGCUAUAGGUAUCAUCUCAUUUGGUGGCACAUCCUAACGUCCAUCACUCUCUUUAUCUCUACAUAAUUUUCAUUAUUUUCUGGGUCAAAACACUACUCUACGAGUCUAUGGCCUAUGCAAAACAUCAAAAUCUACUGAUUAAUCCCAUCAACAAUCCUCCAUUUUUUUUUGCAUAAUAAUACUCUUCCUACCAUACAUUUUAUGUUGUUCAUGUAUGUGUACAGAUUGCAUUUGUUGUGUCUUAAAGCAAAGAAAAUCUUACUGCUUACCUAUUACCUUACGGCAAUAAAUACAAGACAAAAACUUUUCAUUUCGCUCCGUUUUCAUUGGGCAAAAGCAGUUUCCACUCAAGAAUAGGGUAAGAAUGAUGAUACACGCCUCUAUUCUAUAUAUUUCUACGGGAAAGGAAAAAAAAAAAACACACACACACACACACACACAGAGUGGAGCAUCUGUCUAUUCUAUGGGUCAUUAAGCAAGAGUUGGACUUUUUUGUGUACACUGUGCUGUAGGAGGAGUCAUAAAAUCAAAGGGGUCUGUGUUGGUCUACAAUCAUGGGACCCAAUCCUUCUAUCAAUUUCUCCUGUCUGAAAGGUAGGUGGUGCGGUGGCUCAAUUUAAUCGUGAUGGCAGAAGCUUUAUGAGUAAUGACCCUCAGAAUUUUGGGUCUACAAUGACACAAGAAUUGGAAUGACCCACCCAAUUUUACGUGUGUAAAAGCAUACGGGUUUGGUUUGGGGUGGGGUGGGGUGGGGCAAUAAUAAUAUCGCUGCUCAAAACCGAAGGCAGUGAUGAUGGAAUUGCAUAUUUCACACAGCUGCGGGUUAUGCUUAUCGACCGGCCAAAAAAAUGGGUAACAGAUCAGAUUUUGGUGUCCAAGAAUAAUAAUCAUAACAAUAAUGACUUGCGGAAAGAUGACAAAAAAAACCCCUGAAGGAAUCAUCAGUGUCUUAUAGCUACCACCGCGACAUAUUAUGACAACAUGUUCAUCUCACUCCUUGGAAGGGGCCACUUUUUUAUGGUUUUAAUAAGCGCUAAAAGUGUGAUUAUGUGAUGGUUUUCUAUAGAUCAUCUGCUGCAGGCGACACGUUCAUUUGCCUACCUCUCUCUUUUUUUGCUUUUUUGGUUUUUUUCCACCCAAGAUGGGGAUAUGAUAUGUGGUAACACGAUCAAGAAACAUACUCCACAAGGCAAAGGGUAUGAACUCCUGAAGAGUCUUUUGAGAAUUCAAGAGGAGGAGAAAAGGACAGAAAAGAGGAUGACGAAUGAAGGGAUGCGCCAUUUAUUGCUUGUAGGUGCAGCAUGCAUUGUGAAAUGAAAGGAAAUGUUACAGCAACAUCAAUAAUGAUGCAGUCACUAGCGGAUCAUGCAAAGGCCAAGGCCGCUCCGUAAGCCUCAUUUCCUGUUGUUUUUGCUUGUGAUUUGCAGGAGGACAAAUGAUUGUUUUGACCGUGCUUUAUGGAAAAACAAAAUAAAGAUCAAAAGAUGGCACACAGUAAGAAACAACACCAGAAAGGGGUGGACGCAAAAAAAGCCAAGCCAAGUACUUACAACUUGGUAAGAGAUAAAGAGACCCAAAACAUAAAGCAGGCAGAACAGAAAAGAAAUGGCGCCUCACAUGAUCCUUGGGUCAUGGAAUUCAAGCUCGCUCCUUUCCGCUCCACAGACAAAAUACUAAAACAGUAGCAAGUAUAUCAUGUUUUCCUGCGUCUUUUUUAUAGAUUCCAAGUCUUGAGCCAAGCCUCUCAUCAGCCAGUCACUAAGUGAAACCGAAAUGCUGGCUCACUCUUUAUCAUCAUGAGAGAGACAACUAGUGGCUGCCCUGCUGCAGGUCUCCUAAGGAAAGGUGGCAAUACUAUCUUGAUCUGCAUCAAUUUCCCUGUUCAAGUAACAACCUGAGUAAAAUCCUAAGCAAGUUAUCUGACAUCCAAGCCACGUCCUGGAUCACGAAAGAUGGCCUCAGACUGUCACAAGUUUUGACAAUAACAACAAUACAAGCAUCAUUAGCCAUGACAACUACAUCAUCUCUCAGGCUAACGUACAAAAAUUCAAGCUUUCCCUUUGAACUUGCUGAUGUUAUCUUAGCGAUUAAUUGGUGUGUGCAUCCUUUCAACUAUCCUAUUUACGGCAUCACGAGACAUCACUAGAGUGUCGUGCAACAAAAUGCUAUAGACAUUCAAUCCCUGCAAAAACCAAAAGUCAAAAAAAAAAAAAAAUCAGAACCAGACUAAGUGCUGGAGAAGAAUCACCUCGAAUAGAAUCCAAAACAGCCUGUCACUACUGAAACAGGGCGGCAGAUUAUCAAGGAAAAAUACAAUUUAUUUCUACAUAAAUUACCAUCCACAUUUUUGGUAGACAUUUGAACUCUACUGAAACCAUGAAAUGGCUAAUGGUUGUUCAUUAAUAACAUAACGGGAAAAAUAAUCUAAAUCUUCUUGAAAAGGAAUCAGUAUUUGAAAACUCAUUGAAAGGUUAUGGCAAAGAUAAUUAUAAAAGCGUGAUUGAUGAGUAAUUCCAUAGUUCAUCUGAAAUUUUAAAAAUUUGAUAAAUUGCAGUUCAUCUUUCAGAUGUGAAUGUCAGCAGGAAUUACAUCCAACAACAAACUCACGAGGGACAAAUCAAAACUAAGUUGAUACUUACAAUUGAAGGAAGAACAUUGACAUAAUGUAUAUUUUGGGUAGCAAGCUUCAGCUUUUCGUUAAUUGCAUCUCCAUCCACCAGCAGAAGUUUCUUGGUAUCCACCAUUAGAUUAUAAUAGCUGACAAUAUUUUUGUCUUAUGUGAAGGGAUCUCUAAAUCCUCAAAAACCAUAAGCUGUGGAUAAAGAACCAUACGAUGUCAAAACUAAUAUAAUUAGAUGAAUGGGUGAACAUAAAGAGCAUAAGCUGGAAACUAUUCCUCAUCCUAAAAGAAAUGAUAAAUGUUAUCAUUUCCAUGGGAGAGGGAGGUAGAAAGGCCAAAACAACACUGGAUAAAUGUAGCCACACUAGAACAGAAGUACAAGCUUUAUAAUAGAAGAUAAAUCUCUUAAAAAAUAUAAAAUCUUCAAAUGAAAGAGACUUAAAUCCUCAAGGGCUUCCAGGUUAAUAGUUAAUUAAAAGUAGAAAUGACAAUUUUCCAGACUCCCAAAAUUCGCAAUACUCUACAAAUUCAGUCAAAUACAACUAUCUACCUUAUCUAACAUAUCUCGAGGUAUCAGUGCUCAGAAAGGAAGGCUAGUGUGUGUGCUAACUUAAUCCAUGAGGAAAGCCUCAAUAAGGUUUUUAGCAGGUUAGUGCUGUUGUAUAUCCUAGUAGUUACUUCACAAUUGCAACGGAAUUGCUGUUUAACAGAUGAAAAUACUUAUAUGGCAACUUGAGGGAUAAACAUCAUCGGUAAACAAGUCCAAUAAUGCAAUCAGAACAGAAUAAAGUACCAACAAUUAAUAUGAUAAAGAAGCUCUAUUUUUCACUAUUAAUGUUGGUGUACUCCUAAUUCUAGCCGGAACUCUAUCCUAGAAAUCAAAGGUGUUACAAGAUACAAAUCAUCCAGUUAUGGCCAAAAUAUUUAUGCACUACAAUGAAAGAAAAUUAUAAAGAGGCAUAUAAAAUUAUCCAGAUAGUCUAAAGCAUGAAGCGAUAGGCUUUGCUCUGAAAGACUGGGGGUUUCUUUUUUAAAAAAAAUGGACAAAGGGUUCUUUUUUCCCCAGACAAUUAAAUCAUCAUCCAGACCAAGAAAAACUUAUGGCAGGACACCACGAGCAUAAGAAUAAAUCAAAUAAAUAAAGGGAAACUAGGACUGAAGUAACUUUUGGCUACAUAGGGUCCAGGACAAAAUUUUUGCCCAUUGUUCUAAGACAACCCAACCAAAUUCUAGAUAAGAAAAACAAGGAGGAAAUUAUAUAAGACAAAGUACGCUUUCAAAAACUCGCCUUUCCUUCUGCUGCUCUAGCUGACAAUGCAAUCUUUAGCCCCAGUCGACGGACCUUCUUAUUCAGCUUGAUAGCAUGACUUCGUGGUUUGGGACCAUGCAUAGUUGCACCACCCCUGAACUGUUAUUCAGCAAGCAAAUCCAUAGUAACCAUUCAGAGUCAUACAAAAAGCACCAUCUAUACAGAAAUAUAAGACAGCGGUACAUCACCUGAGGACCUCGCAGUGUUCCAUGUCUCGCUCGACCAGUACCCUUCUGUCGCCAUGGUUUUCUACCAGUUCCACUGACCUCGCUAAUGGUUUUGGUUGAAUGAGUUCCCUGACAAAAACUCACUGCUCUAAGAAAAUUUCACAAUAAUAAAUUAUUCUCCAGCUUAAAGCUCAUUAAGAAACUAUUAAUAUACACCGAGCACGAAAUAUCCUCCACUGCAAGAACUAAAACUUCUUCUUAUAUGCAAAUAACAAUUAAAAAUGUUGAAGAUAACAAGAUACUAGAUGCCAAAAGUUAAGAAAGUUUAAAAAACUGCAGAAGGUUAUAUUGACCUCACUCACUCAGUGGCAUGACAUUAAUAGAUUUGCUAUUCUUAACUCAAUUGUUUAAGAGGAGGAUACAAGGUACAAUAUUGGCUCGUGAAACAUUAAGACAUGUUAUCCUGUCAAUUUAUCAUACUUCCAAGUAAAGAAAGAUCAUCCUACCUGCUGUCGUUUUGCAAGCUGCCACCUUACAACACGAUGGACAAUAUCUUUCCUAAUUGGAACAUCAAAAACAUCGCCAGCCAAAACCAUCAAGCCUUUAUCUUCAUUGGAAAAGUUUGUGACCGGAAUCACCAGGUCCUGACAAAGUCCUAAGAAAUCACAAAUAAUCAACACAGUAAAGAAGUGAUGUUUCGCUAGUUGAACACAAAGUAGCAAUAUGCCAGUCUAUAAGAAAUUUUACCUUCAUCGGAUGAGACAGAGAAUAUAUAACAAAUCAAAACCAAAAGUAAACUUCAUUUGGUAGGGCCAACUCAAUCUAUAACCUUCCCAGAAACAGAAAGUAAAUCUCCUAGAUAAACUAAAACAUAUCCUCAUGUAAACUGAAAAUCCACUACAAACUCUUAUUAUUUGCAGCCAGAAGCCUUUAAAAAACUUGAAAAUUCUGGAUUUAAGAUACAAACCUAAUAAGAGAAAUUUGUAUCACUCUCUUCAAUACAUUGUGUCAUACCUACCUUGUCAUACAUCACUAUAAACUCAAUCAUAUCGUUAUAAACCAAAUGCAACGAAAUUCUUAGAGUCAAGCCUAAGGUGUGCAAUCAUCUAAUGCAAUUCAAACUGCAUUAAUUGGACACUGUUUCAAUUCAUUCCUCACAGAAAAUUUGACUUAUCCAUCGAUUCAUGAGCUAGAUUUUAAAAAAAAAAGUGUAGAAAAAGAAAGUUUAAUACAGUAAAAUUUUCCAAAAAAAUGGAGCAUAAUGAAGCAUGCUAAUCUUUCCAGAACGUAUCUAAAGAAAAAGCAAAAAAUAAAAAGCAAGUAUUAGAAGUCAUACCAACUGUGCGCUCAGGGGGGAAAACCCGUUUCCUGGACAACAAAUCUGAGGGAAAUGCAUCUUCACAUGAUCCAGGAGUUAAGAUAGAAGUUGAAAACCCUCGACAAGCAGCGAUAAGUAACUCAUUCUGCAGUCAAAAACCAGAAACAAGAAGAAAGCUAAUGAAUAUGAUGCGACCAACAAAAUGUGCUACCAUCUUCUUACAAAAGAUUCAUUUUUGCGGAAAACAAAUGAUAAAAAACAAGGGCACAACCACGGAAGACAAAUUUCAAAUCCUAACUAAUUUCUUGCAAGAUCAGUAUAAGCAAAUUGUGAUAACUAAUCCAGUUACCUUUUGAAGAGCAGAUAAUUCAACAGAAAACACACUGUGCCUAACAGCCCGCUGACAGCUCAAGCCUGCAAUAAAAAUUUCCCCCAGAAUAAUAAUAAAGAGUCAGAUUUUAGUCAAGUUAUUCAGGAGAACAAAAAGAGCAUGAAGAUAACAUACCACUAGAAAAACCAAGUGCCGAAGAAAAUGCACCAUUCCAAGAACGAAAAGCCCUUCUUGAAAUCCAAAGUGCCAUGCUCCAAAAUGAUAAACUCUCGAAUCUAAGAACUCUUUAUCCUUUUAAUUUGAAGGGUUGUUUCUGGUCCAGCUAAACGGAAACCAUCCUGGGAAAAUUUAUUGAUUCACCUGAAAGUUCAUAUUUUUAUCAAUGGAUGAUUACCAGAGUAACAGAUAACAGAAGAAAAAUUAGAACACAGAGCCCGAGAUAUCAUAAAAUUUCCCCCCAUUUGCAUUGCUAGGCAGCUGAGGGAGGGGGUUGUUGGCGGAAGCAUACCAGCAAAGUGACUGAGAAAGGCGAAUUGAUGAAGGGUUCCGAUGGCACAGCCCCGAGACUCAAGUAGAGUAAGAAGAAGAAGAAGAGAAGCAGCUACUGAAGAAGAAACCCUUUCAUAAACCCUUUGCCAUGGUAACUAUUUCUGUGUUUUGGGGAGAAUUGUUGUCCGGGUCGGAGUUAAAUGAAUUUGGUUUGCACGUCCUUCGGAAAGAAAUGCGGUCUAUCAGUCUAUGGUCUAAGCUAAAAAGUUUUGUGGGCUUUUCUCUCCCACAGUUAUAAGGAAUUUCAGCCUAUUUGUUUCUUAGCCUGCAUUUUAAUGUCUUGACUUUAUCAGCAUACUUGUAUCAUUGCCCACAUUCAUUUUCUGAUUUUGAACUUUACUAGUCUUUCGUCCAAAAAAAAAAAAUUUACUAGUCAAUUGCCAAUGAUUUUAAAACCCACCGGUAUAAGUUUUACACAAUUUCAUCGGCUGGUCAUGUCCGGAUCCAUUUUAAAAAAGAAAAGUAAAAAAAAAAAAAAAAAAACAGAGUAAAAUAGCUUCACGAAACUCAGGUGAAAAGUUGAAGAGAUAUUCGUCGAUAUUAAUUAUUUUGGGUUGCUUGUCAAAAAUUAAUAACACUCUGUAGAUGGGAAAAUAGUGGAGCAUUUUGAUGACGACUCGUUGGUGUACAGGUAAAACGACCCAAUCAAACUCCUUCCUUUUUUGCUGGAAACAUGAUAUGAAAAUACGAAUGAACAUUAAAAUCGACUAUUUAUGCGGGGUCCUAAAUGCUGCUCCAUCUUCUCAAGCGGCAGCAGUUAACCGCUACCAUCCCAACAAGCACAUAUAUACUAAUAAGUUGAUGAUAAAAAUCCUAGUAAAAGAGACCUUCAUAUCCAGAAAAAACUAGACUUAUUUUAAUUGGAUCUAGUGAUCUGCUAUUAUACAUCAGCACAGCGCUUCAAUUCAUACUUCUUCACAUUCUUGACACUGAGAAUGACCGAUGCAGUGACCAGCUCACACACCUCAUUCAAUUGACUCCGUUGACCUUCCCAUCUUUGCACAGCUUUCUCACCAUCUUUAGCCACCUCCACCCGGGCCAGUGCCUGCUGUAAAUUGAUAUUUGAGGAUCUGCAGGUUCAAUACUAAAAACCAUUACCAGCCUUUCAUCAAGGAUGAGAUGUAGGAAAAGCAAGACAAGCAUCCACAACCACCUUAUGAAACAUGGUUUCCUGGCCUUCACAUGAUCAUUAAUCCACAAUUGAGGUAAAUCUCAUUACUGGCAGUACUCCCCUCCACCUUUUCGCAUUUUCUUCAUUCCAUAAUCCAUAUUGAACAACUCAGUUUCUAACUCAUUGUGAUAUCAGUUCUAUCAAUAUGUGUAAUUCAUAUCUCCUAGAGAAAAUUAGUUCAUAACAUUACUUCCUGAGGAAGUAAUCUGAGCAUCAAGACUCCAACUGAGGAAAAUCUGCAGGACAUCGGAGAUGUCUGCCUCUUGUAUCUUUUCAAACACAAUAAUGUUACCACUCCUAAAGUUAAUCAGUCGACACCCGGAAGCGAGCAUAGAAGGUCAUCGACCUCUAUAUAAUCUCCUUCUAGAAUGGUUUUCAAGUCCUGCACAGCCAAAUCAUACAAAUCAUCAGGAAGGAAGUAAUGAUUGAUCCAUGGGCCGUAUAAUUCUACAUGUUCAAAUUCAACAGAUCAUAAAGAAAAAGCAAUCUCCAUCUUUUUUAAUAAGAAAGCAAAAUCUAUCUGGAUAAACUUAAGGGCGUCAGUAAGUAAACUCAGAAAGAGUACUUAAGGAACCACAUUCAAUUUCCAACCCAUAAGACGAAUGAGGAGAUAGAAGUUUGAAGAAGGGAAAAGAAGAUCAUGUUGGGAAAACAGGAACAUUUAUUACUCUAUACAUAUAACAUCUUCAUUUCUGCUUGUUCAGGAAAGCUCACUGGAAAUCUCAAACUUACUUAUCAGGUCAAUCAAUUCAAGACCAUCACUCAGAAGUUUUCAUCAUCCCAUUUACCAAAGAAAAAGUGUUCAUUCUAAUAUGGCAAGUAAAUCUCAACUAAGAGGACUGUCUACCAACUUAUCCACAGAAUUUACAGUAAAAAAGAAAAAAGGCUUAUCACCAACCUCUCUGUUUCUCCUCAAGAAAUCACACAUAUAACAGUCACUAAAGUCCUAAUGCCAGUGAACCUCCAACAAAGUGAAUAGAAUAAGAGCAAUCCAAAAGGAACAAAGAAUGCUAUUGAGCUUUGACAUUCCACAAUCAGACAAAGCAACUGUUUUGAAAAUAUACUGCAGAAGUCUAAGCAGCAGGAUCCUUCUAACUAUAACUGAUAGGAAAAAUUUCGCUGAAUUGAAAAGAAGAAGAUUUCAGGUUUAAUACCUGCUCAGAAACAGGCUUGAGGCUAAUGGUCUCGUCUAACUCAUUACCCUGUCCUGGAGGGAGCUUCAAAACCUCAUUAUCAUCAUUUUGCGUACUCUUGUCUUGCAUUUUAGAUUCUUCAAUAACUGAUGUAACACUUCCAUCAUAUUGAACACCUAUAUGACGCACAGUUGCAACACUUUCCUCACCGCAGGAACUUAUAUUGUGCUCUGAUAAGUUAUGUCCCAGAUCAGAUUUGUUAAACACUCGGCAAAGGACAAAAGAUCCCUGCAUAUACUUUGAAUCAUGAGAUUCUGAAUAAAUUUUGUUGCAGCUUUAACCAAAUGAAUUAGAGCAGAAACUUCUAACAUAAUCCAAUAACCAAAUUUCCUAGAUCUUUUAAUAUUCAAUCUGAUCAUAUGGGAAAGCAACCAUCAUCAAAAUAUACUUGACAUCUACACAGUACACACAGAUGGAAAUAAAUGGAAAUCACAACCCUAGGAAGAAUACACAACAUCCGAGUCAUAUAUGAAAGAUGGUGCACACAUUAGUCUCAGAGUGUAGGACUGUCGAAUAGAAGCUGACAUCAAGAUCCUUGAAACAAGAAACCAUCUAUUUUCUCCUCUUCUCGCACACAAACAAAUCAUGAUCAAAAGCUUGUCCAGCAGCAGGGCAAUGGGUAUCACACAGUGAAUCUCAAGUCUAAACCGAGGCCUCCCGUUCAGGAUCUUCACAAAUCAAAACUAAUUUCAAUAUGUUAUUAGGAAAUAGUCACGAUGCAUUUUUUCUUCUUGCCUUUAACAUUAAAAUCAAUUAAGAAAAUCACCUUUACAUUUUGAAACAAAAUAUACUUUCUUAUAAAAAAUGAUUUCAUCACACCAAUGCAAAAGGCACCAAAAGCUAUUUAUAAUGCGUAAUUGAUAAUAGCAAGAUAACAAACACAAACUUAAACCUAAUUCCAAAUAAGAAAUAACUAAUCUAGCUCAACAGGUAAAUCACAAACUUUAUGUCUCUAUUUGCGCCUGUAUGUGCAAAUUCUAGUACCAAGUACAAUAAAGUAGAAGAGAAUUUUAACAGCUUUAUUAGGGAAAAAAUGAAUUAAAUCCACAUUGACCCCACUAAAAUCAUUUCCCGAAACCAGCAUAAGCAAGACUGCCAACUGACAAUCAUUCAUUUAACAUGGCCGAAUCCAAUUUCUACUUCCGAAUCCAAUUUCUACUUCAUACCCUUGAAUUUAGGAAGCAUAAAUUACCACAAAAUUUUCUCCAUAAAUAUAUUAAAAAAAAAAAAGAACCGCAGAACCCAAUUCGCAAUGAAAAUGAAAGUAUUUGGGGGAGAAAAAAUUCCCAUUAGAUAUUAACGUCAAGUUAACUAAUUAUGAAAAAAGUUAAUCUAGUCAAACCCAAUCAGCUUAGACCAACAACAAUGUAUAACUUCUACCAAAAUAUCAGGUACAAAACUUCAAAUUUUUAUCAGACCCAUAACUUAAUAAAUUAUGAUCAAAGCAUAAAAGAAGAUUAAUACCAUAUGAUGAUCAAUGAGAGCAUAUUCAUACAGGACCCAACGAGUCCUAACAGCAUUCUCGUGUGAAUCCCCCGAAUAAAAAUCAAAACUUUUACGCGUCCCCACCACAACUUUCCCUGCACCCGCAUCAAUUACAUCCCUAACCCUCCCCCUCUUUUUCCAAUACCCGCCACCGGCGACUCUCCUCCUCCCUCUCUCCUCAAAACAACCCUCCUAACGUAACAAUACCAGUGGCGCCUCCGCCCUCCGCUGCCGAACCGGAAGCAACCCGAUUCAGGUAAGUUGAACGGGUUGAAAUUGUACAAGUCUAACUCUUUAAUUACGUCUUUGCCAUAACAAUUGGUGCCGUUGUUUUUAGAAGUAAGGUAGUAGCAGACGAGCUGUUGCUCGGAAGGGUAGAAUCGAGAACCUGGUGGAAGACAAAACGACGUCGGAUCAUCCGGGGGCUUUGGAUCCUCUCCCCUCAUUUGUGGAAAUUUUCCGCGAGAGCAAAGGCAUGGACAGGGGACAGAAGGUAGGGUUUUAUAGCAGUCAGGGACUCAAGAAGCGUGGCCCUGAAGUUUGUUUGGGGUUUUGUCUUGUGUAGUGCUAGCGCAAAAGAGUGUUCGUGCUCCUCAGUAGUACGAGCCGCCGGUCUGUCCACGAUUAUGCUGAAUGGUUGAUUGCUUUGCUGCUUAAUCUUGUGUGACCCGUUUGGAGGGUUGCGAGGACUUUAUAAAGAAUACAAGUGCUUUUAAGGAAACUGUUUAUAACCUGCUAAAUUUACCUACUUAAGUUAAGAAAAUCAGUUACUAAAUACCCUAAAAAUACAUUGAAUAAAUCUUAUAAAUAUCCUAAAAAUACUUUAAAUAAAUCUUAUAUACACUGACGAUGUAUACACUAUCGCGGUUGGAUAUACGACACAUAUGCAAAAUUUGAUUUUCAAAUUCAAAUUCAGAUUAAUGUGUCGUACAUCUAAUGAUGAAAGUGCAUACACUACUGCCAGUGUAUCAAAAAUUAAUCAAAUACUUUUAGUGCUUAAACUUUUUUAUUGUAAACGCAUUGCAACGCUAAACGGGCCAUUAGUGCAGUUUAACUUUAGUAAUUUUCGAGGUAGAUCAAAGCUAUGACAAAUAUAAUUUAUACAUUUAACUUGGGAUUUAUAAUUGUUUAGUAAAGAUUUUUUCUGUUGCAGAUCGAAUGACUCAAAUCAAUCAAUUUAGGUAUCGUGUAAUUGUUGUCUAAUAUGUAUUUUAUUAAAGACUUUUGGAUUGAUAGUAAUGUAGUAGAUGUGCUCGUUCAAUUGAACUUGCUCAGUAUUGGAAAUUGGAAUUGAAAAUUGAUGCAAAAGUGUGAAUAAAUUAAUACGAUUAAACAAAAAUCUACCUAUAUUGGAAUUGAAAAAUGAUUCAAAAGUAUUAUGAUUGAUAUAAUAAGUUAAAUUCUUCUUGGUCAAGUUUUUCCUUUUCCGGGGAUACUCCAUAUCCACAGUCUAUACUCUAUACUAUAUAGUGCAUGUCUCACCUUUUGAAAAGUCAACUCCAUUGACAAACGAGGAAUGCCCUCUGAAUAUUGCGCUUACUGAAGAGGGAUGUCUGUCUACUUUUUGUUCCGAUUCUUAAGUACAUUUGAAUGAAUUUUAAGUACGCCUAGGUUGCGAUUGGAAUGCGGGAUUUAAUGAAAGAUUGAAAUCUUCUCAAAUUUUUAUAAUUAUUUAAAUUAUUUAAGAAGUAUUUAAAUUUAUAAAUUACAAAUUAUUAUAGUGUUUAAAAUAUAUUUUGAUAAUUAGUGAAUUAUAAAUUCAAAUGUAUCUAAAUCAAUUCAAAUAAUUAGAACAACUUGAGUGGAUUUCAAAUUCUUCAUCAAAUUUCUCAAUCUAAACAAAAAAAAAAAAAAAUGCAUUUUGCCUCUUUUAUGGUAAAAGUAUGCACCCCGAGUGUGUAUAUCAUACAUGCAAUUCGCGAAACAUAUAAUCGACCCUUUUUCUGGUUGAACUCCCCUGGCGUUUCUCUCCACUGUAGUUCUUGAAACCAAACAUUCACUAAAGGAUCAUUUGAUUUUCACUUUCUUUCCCAUUAAAAGUAAAAAUGAUUACCAUUUCAUUUAAUUUUCAAGCAUGAGAGAGGGAAGGGUGUCCAUCAUGAUGCACUGAUUUCGUGAUUCUGAACAAGUUGAAAUUGCAAGAACAUAUUGAGUUUGUUUGGAUAGAGAGAAUUUGGAUGAUUUAUUUGAGAUAUUUACUGUAGCACUUUUUGUGAUGUGAUGUAUGUGAGAUAAAAAGGUGAUUGGGAAGAUAAAAAGGUGAUUGGGAUUUGUGAGGAUAAAUUUUGCAAACCAAAUUCUCUCUAUCCAAACAAACUCAUUAUUAUUAUUGUGAUUUACAGAUUUCUGACAUAAUACAGUUCGUUUUCGUCUAAAUUAAAGCACAAGAACUCCAGAAAUAACGAGUCCACCUAGUUGAGGGAACAUCGGUUUACUCAUUGACUGGAAUGCUGCUCAACGUACAAAGACGCGGGUGAUGGCCGUGAGGUAUUUCAUAACCAAAGAAUGAUUUUACAAUUUCGGACACAUCCGUGUGUGAAUUGUGAAACUGAAACUGUGGUAUCUAUCCAGUGUCAAAGUGCAUGGAUGCGUGAACAAAUCUAGCCCCACGACUGUUAUCGCCGGUGCAAUCAAUAUAAAGGGGCACAUGAGGGGCCGACUUUCUUGUUUCACUGUUGCAAGAUGACUGGUAGAAAGGGAGGAGGUUGAGCAUCUUCUGAUUUGGUUUUUACUCGUACUUGAUUCUGGAGACUUGGCGAAAGGGAGGCCUUUCUGCAUCUGUGUGAAGACGCCAUGCCAUGAUCUGAAUUAGCUCAGAUGCAAUGGUUCAGGGGUGGUUUUGAAGGGAAUCCGCAUCUUUGUCAGUGUGAUCACCAGUUGAUGCAACUUCCAGGCUGCCCAUCCCAAUCCAUUUCUCAGCAGCAGCUCCCUCAAAAUUCCUUCUGUUGACAAACUGCACUAAAUAAUGCCUACUUGGCGCAAGUCCUACUCCACCUAUACUUGGCGCCAGUCCACAAAGUUGAAAAACCCCAGUCCCUGGGGGAUUUGGUCAGUCAAAUCUUGUAAAUCCCUUUAAUUCUUUUAUCUAUACACUGACUAGUAUAUCCUUCUGGGGAAACGGCAGCAAUCAGGUAAAAGCGUUCACAUGGGAGUUAAUUUUCGGAUGCUUUGAACCAAUACAGUAGUAUAUAGAGUGCUGGUGAGCAUUAUAUUAUUAUUGUUUGCCUGGCCAGGGAGAAUCAGUUGGGUUGUCAAAAAAAAAAAAAUAAAGGGAUGAAUUCGCAAAGCCGCCGAAAAUGCUAAAGAAAACCAGCCCUACUAUCGGCAAUUGCAUGGAACUAAUAAAUAAAAAUUCGAAUGGACCCCCAAGUCUCAGAGAGUCGGACUCCUCUACUAUCAGUACUGGUUCUAUAAUUUUUAUUUUAGGAGCACUCAGACACCGCGAAAACACACGCUGGCUCAUAGGUUUCUAUAAGUCGGCCCCCUCUGUACUACAUCUAACAAAUCUUGUUGGAAGUCAAAAACAUAUAUACAGGCUUAGUCGAUACCCCAGGUCAGAUUUGCCUUCCUCUCAUGUACCGGGUGGUUCCUGCAGAGACCUUAGCGCUCGAGCAGUUUUCUUCUAGUAUUAUAAUCCUGGAAAUCAUCUCAAAAACAGUUUUAAAAACAAAUUACCAGCCAUUAACUCUCUAAACAAUAUCCAAAAAUAAGAUGAGAAUAAAACUACUCCGGCAGGUUCAAAAUUCCAAUCUAUCAUUCGAAAACUCAGUUCUAGAAUCUAAUUCCUUCCCUACGAAAGAUAUUGAAAUCUUGAUUCUAUCAAAAACUCAUCUUCCAUUCUCAUCACUUCACCCGCGCUCAGGAAACGAUGCUGUCACUCAGGGAAAGUGAGGCUAGCUGAUCAGCUGGGCCGCUUGCCUGCUGAACAUUCUGCAGGACCUCCAUUGCCUCAGCAACUUUUGCCUUUAAAGCAUCUGGUGAUUCCAGUAGAUGCAAGACCUCUGUCUGGUCCAUCUCCAGAAGCAUGCCUGUAACUUGGCUGCAUAUUCAGGCUCCAGCUGAUCAACAAUGGAUACAGAUUUUCACCCAACAUCUCCGCAUAGAAACAUGUUAACAACCAUCUAGACAAAACCUAUUUACUGAAGCUUCAUAUAAAAUGUUAUAUCCUACCGUGCGUUGCUGUUCUGGGGAUGCAUUUGCAAGUGCAGAUGCCAGAGCGGUAGCUGGCAUUGGCUGACCAAUGGCACCUUCUCGGGGAAGCGUCCCACCCAUGUCAUAUGGAGAGAGAACGCCUCCUGCUACACCAGGCAUUCGCACAUCAGGAACACUGCGGCCAGGUGGAUACCUAAACAUCCGUCCCCUUGGUAGCAUCUGACAAACAAAUAUUUGACCUUAGUUCUGUUACACGAAAAAAUACAUACAUAACAUAUACAGUAAGAGACCAACCUGCUGCUGCAUCAAUGGCACUGGCUGCUGGGCUUGUUGCAUUGGCCCUGCUCCACGCCUUCCACCAGGCCGCUGGCCUUGCUGGACCAGUGGCACAAAGAAAUUUGGCAAAGGAGCUCCACCAGGUCGCAUUCCAGGUACAAGCUGCUGCUGAUAUCCAAAUCCAGCCUAAAAAUGCUUAUCCCAUUUAAGAGUAAUGCCACAAGAAGAGAAGAAAAAAAAAAGAACAAAAGGAAGGGGGGGGGAGGCGGGGAGGGGAAGAAAUGUAAUGGCAAAUACAGCAGUCAAAGGACAAACUAUAACCUGUGGAGGGAUUAUAGUAGGAGGAGCUUGCCCAUAAUAUAGAUGUUGUCCAAUAGCAGGACCACCAGGAGGAUAGAGAGGCAUUCUAGGAGCAAUAGUUGGCCCUAUUGCAACAGGCCUCAUUUGCGCAAACUGAGCCUGCAUUAACAUCAAAAUGAUGAAGUCUGUCAAGAAUUACAGUACCACAUUCAGUCUAAGCCACACAAAACACGCUUCUGCAAGGCAUUGUCAUAACGAUUCAGCUAUGACAAAUUGCAGCACAUAAUUACUACUAUUUCUGCUUUAGGUCCCAUGGAACCCUUAAAUUUCAGAAACGAAAAUUUGAGACCAAAACUGAACAACAAAUACAGCAAAACAGGUAAGCUCAAAAUCCAGUAUACAUGUAAGCUGAGAAUGCUAAAAAUCUAAAUGGAUAUGACAACUAAAUUAUUGAACUUUUUAAGCACUAUUAAGAAAAUUCAACCAUCAACCAUCCACUCAUAUUCUAAUAGACAUUGUGCACUUUUUUCUUAUGACUGACAUAACCAAUGAAAAUAGAGAUUUGACACCCAGAAUAUGCAAAAGGAUGCAAAUAACAGCAUUUGGCAAGGAGAGUCUCAUGCAGGAAAAAUCAAUAUGCCAUAUGAAAGCAUGUUAAAUUAAGUGCCAUCAGGCGAAGAAUUCUUAUAUGUCAUCCACAAAAGCAACCAGAAAACAUAAAUAAAAGCAGCAAAGGAGAAAUCUCCUGAAAGCACGAGACCUGUAAUCUUGCUCUUCGCUCUUCUUUCCUCUGCGCCAGUGCAACAUAAAGUGGCUUGCUGAUCACCAUCUUUCCAUUCAUCUCAGAAAGCUAUUAACAAGAAGGAAACAACCUAGUUAGCUUCUCGCCAUUCCCCAUAUAAUAGAAACAUAAUCUAAUUUAUCAUCGUACAGCUCUAGAAGCUUCUUCAGGAGUUGUGAAAGCUACAAAACCUGAUCCUCUGCUAAUACCACUAGGAUCCGCAUAACCUAAAACAAAUCAAGAAUGUAGUUAGGAGGACAUGAACAAACCAAGGUGAACAUUUGAAGGACACUCCAACAUGGAGAGAUGGAAAGGAAGAAUAGGACAAGAGGAUCAAUUAAAAAAAAAACUACAGAGAUUUGAAUAUGCACCUUGCAUGAGGUUAUGGUGCCAAAAUCCGAAAACAGUUCCUUAAGUUUAUCAUCAUCAAUGCUGUCAUCCAGGUUCUUUACAUAUAAAUUCAAACCUUGAUAUUUGUCUACCACUUCCUUUGCCGUUUGCUCAAAUUGACUCUUGAGCUCUUGCUCUCUUUCAGACUUCUUUUGGGCUUUUCCAACAUACCACUCCUUGUCAUCAUAUUUUUUUCCAUUAAGAGCAUCAACAGCUUUGGCAGCAUCAUCUGCAUUCUCAAAGUUGACAAACCCAAAACACUUGGAUUUUCCAUCUGCAUCCCUCAUCACCACUGCACUAGUGAUUGCUCCAUGCUCCCCAAAAAUUUUCUUUAGAUCAUCAUCUGUGGUAGACUCUGAUAGAUUUUUCACAUAGACAUUGUUAAAUUUGGUCCUACUGAAGGCGGACUCUCUCUCCUGCUUACGAAGGAACUGACCAACAUACACUUGCUUAUCGUUAAUAAGCAUUCCAUUCAACUUAUCAAUGGCAGUCUGAGCAGAUUCUGCAUGGUCAAAUUGAACAAAACCAUAACCCUUAGAUUGGCCAUUGCCGUCAGUAGCUAUCUUGCAUGAAAGAAUGUUGCCAAAGGUUGAGAAUGUAUCAUGCAAAGCUUUGUUGUCAAUUGCCUUGUCCAGAUUCUGCACAGACAAGAACAAUUCAAUACUCCACACAAAGCAUGCAUAAGACAAUGGCAUAGUACAGUAACAUUUAACCCUGGUGGUGCUUUAAGAAUAUAAAGCAUAAAAUCUCAAGAGAGAAAGAACUGUACAACACUGUUUUAUUAAUUCUUCAAGAUCACAGAAUUAGGCUAGAAAAUUUACAAUGCACAGCAUAGUUCAAUCAGAUUUGAUGCUCAUGGGCCAAAGGAGGCUACUGAAGUGUACUAGAACAAAGCAAAUAAUCUAAAAACUGAAAUUUGUUCAUUGCUUUAUCAACAAUAAAAAAUUUUUAAUCCAUGUCAUGCCAAGUGAGACUAUACCCAGAAUAAACAAAGGGACCCGCAUGGUGCAUUAGAUAGGGGCAAGUAAUAACCCUAAUAACUGAAAAGUUAUUUAGCAUCGUUAUUCAUUUAAUACUAAUUGCACAGCAACCCUAGCAACAUGCCUUGGCAGUGCUAUACUCAAGCCUGAUCAAUGAAUAAUGAUGGACAGUUGACAAUUGAUAAUACCUUGAUAAAGAUAUUUGCAGUCCCACUCUUACGGAUGCUAGGGUCUCGAUGAGAGUACAUGAUCCUGAUCGACUUGCCAUUGAUAGGAGUGAAGUUUAACACAUCCAUUGCCCUUGUAGCUGAAACAAAGAAAAACGGUAUUGGUAGUAAAUUUAAUGGAAAUGAACUUCAGGUAGAAAACUUAAAUAAACAGACAAAGAGAUGCAAUCAUAUCGCCAAGAAAUCAGUAAAAAGAAUAUCAAGUAAAUUUACACAGACUAGUGUACAUUACUUCUCUCUAACAUUUGGAUGGUAAUAGACAAGCAGCAGCCUACGUGUGGAGCCGCAAAAGGAAGGUGAUAUAAAAUCAACCUAUAAAAGCAAAGGAAGGGUAGCAAUAUUUAUUUUUCAUCUAUCCAUAAACUACAAACAAAGCUAAUAGAUAGACUUAUCGCCAGAAUUGGAGCCACACCCGAAUCAAAGUGUCAAACUGAAAAUAAAUUAACAGCAAUAGCUGACCAGCUUACAGCUGACUUGCGUUGUUCAAAAACCUAAAAAUUCUAAACUUUAGGCACAACACGCAAUCUUGUCAAGCAUCCAGAAGUAUGCCUACCCAUCAAUUAUCACACACCAAAGCAUAAGACGUUAAAGAAUACCCUCAUGCAAAACAUACAUUCCAACAAAAUCCACAAUGCAAGUCCCUAUAUCGUAGAAAAUCAUUCAUAUACAUAAAUGCCAGGGGAACUUAUACAGGAAAAAGAGAACAGAAAAGAAGAAACAAGCUUUACCAUCCUGAGGAUUGCUAUAGUUGACGUAGCCAUAGCAGAGUGAGCGGCGAGUGCUGAGGUCCCUACAGACCCUUACCGAAACCACUUGUCCCACCUGGUUGAACAGAUCGUACAAUUGGGAGUCCGUCACGUUGACGUCCAGGUCACCCACGUAAAGCGAGGUUGACAAAAACUGAUUCCCUCCACCAAUGGGAGCCGCUGCUGCCGCCACAGCAGCACCACCAGCCGGAGCCGCCACUCCAUUCAGCCCAGCUGUCACUCCCGCAUUCUGCACCUGAAUCUGCGCCAUUUUUUCCUUUUCUCAAAAAUAAAACUUAUUUAAUUUCCCCCUCCUAAAUUACUAUGACUGUAAUUUUUGGGGAAAUUAAAGAAAAGGCGGAGGGCGUGAUGAAAUUGGGACAAAAAUAUAAAAUCGUCGGAGGAUCCGAACGAACAAUGAAGACGAUGGAUAGAUAGAGAUGAUUUUUACUAUAUAUCAAUAGAUUUUGUAUUAAAAAGAAAAGAAAAAAAAAAGAAGGAGAUGAAGAAGAAGAAGAAAAAGGGCAAAAAAUUUUGGUUUUUUUUUUGGAUUUUACGGCAGGGGAGGGCAGGGGGAACUGCACCGCAACAGGCGAGAAGACAACAGUGAGGUUUAUAAUGAAGCACCCAAACGGUGGUGACGUAUGAGAAACCCUAACGGGGUUAGGUCUCCACCGUUGGAUUCUAAUAGGGGUCCCACUUGGCGGUUACAUUUUAGACUGAACGGUGAGAUAGAUUCACGAUUCGGUUUCAGUUUGCUUGUGGACGCCGUUAGAUGUUUUUGAUCAACAUUUCAGGUUCAGUUUGAUUGUGACACGUGGGGAAAUGUGCAUGGGAGUUUUAGUAGCGUGGUUGAAUCUAGCCGUGGGCUAAUGUCAUCUGUCGGCUGUAUUCCUCUCACUUUUGUACAAUCUACGAAAGAAAACUACGUAGUAUUUUCAUGUCUAUCAUUUCCUUCCUCAAGAAAAACAUUUCUAUCUUUUGGUUUCGAUAUAUAGUAUUAAAAAUCAAUCGUUUUUGCUGGGGGAAAUGACAGAACAUGAAAAUGUCUAUAUGUGAGAAGUGAAAGCCCAAAUAAACACGAAUGUUUGGAUAGUAGAUUAUUUAGGAUAAAUUUUUGAAAAAAAAUACUAUGUCAAUUUUUUGAUGUAAUGUAUGUAAGAUAAAAUGGUGAUAAAAAAAUAUGUUUAUGAUACAACUAAAUAAAUUUGUGUAAAUAAUUCACUAUUCAAUUUCCCACUCUUUUGAUCAUUGAUGAAUAUUUUUGUUACAACCACUCCAUGACAAAUUCUUCUGUCAAUACGGGGACUAAACCACCAUCGGACUAGACGGCUGUACGCACCGUGCACCCGUCUGGAUUUUUUAGGAGAGCCAUUUUUUAAUGUGGCGAAUUUGCCUCCCACCCCACUAAGCUUUAAUGCAUUGAUGGUCGCACUAGCCCAAGACCGGUGAUUUUUUAAAUUUCUACCUUGAUCGAAUUUUUUUUUUUGAAAUCAAAAGAAUUGAAACUUUUGAAAAGGAUAAGUCAUACAAACUUUAUUUGAUUAAUAUGUAACUUAAGAACGAGUACAAACUAAGACAUAAUAGCUGUCAAGCUAUUGAGAUGAAAAAAAAGGAGAAAAGAGAUCACAAUUCCCACUUGUGACAAAAUAUUGUCGAGGUGAUGAGUAGGUACCCUUGUGAUUGAGACGAUGAUUUCUUUGUUUUCUUUUUUUCUCCCUCUUUUUUUUUUUUUUUUAUUUAUAACCAGGUCUGAACUUUGAUAUACAGGUAUAGUGGUAUGAUGGAUGGACGAAGAAAAGCCCUAAUAUUCCGAAGUCGCUUAGUAUGAUAAAUUAACAAUUGGUCUCUGCGUUAGUUUGGCCAGAGAUCAUUAAUUAACUGACGAUUAAUUUUGAUGGUUUGGAAUUGUGUGUGUUAAGAAGUAUUGAGACAGGGAAAUCCCGUAGACAAUCAACUAAUCAUGCAUGAUUUAAACGACCUUCAUGAAUACAAACUCAUUGCAGCUUGACAUAUACGUCUCUGAGCUCAUUUCCAUGGACUUAAGUGCAAUUUCAAUUUUGACCUUUUAUUUUUCCUUUUAGCGUAUGAUUUAAAGUAAAUCAGGUUUUCAGAUACGUUUUUUGGACAGGGACAGGGACAUGGAGCAGGCGGUGUAAGUUAUCAAAAGAAAGGUAGUAAAAGCAAGAUCUAUUAGCAACAGGUGUGGGACGCCGUGCAUGGAUCCUGAAGUAUAAGGCUUUAUUUAGAUUGCUUUUUUCUGGACUUUUUGUAGAAAAAUUAUUAUAACGAUUUGAUAUAUGUAAGAUAAAAAAGUGAUUGAAAAAUAUGUUCACAAAAAAUGUAAUAAUUUUUUUUUGAAAAUUGCAAUCCAAACAUAGCGGUUUUCCACCAAAAAGCAUGAAGAAUUCUCUAGGCAUGGUGUGUUUUGUAGAUCAAUGAAGUGUUAAUCUACCAGUAAUCAUUUGAAGAAGAACCGUAAAAUGAAUCAUUUUCUAGAGUUUUUGUAUAAAAAUCGUAUUAUAGUGAUUUAAUAUAUGUGAAGUAAAAAGUUGAUUGAUAAAUGUAUUCAUGAAAAAACGUAAAAAUUUUUGUGUGGAAAAUAGCUUUUCCGAACAACAAGGACAUUGUAUAGCCUCUAACGAACUGAGCACAGGAAGAAAACCAUAAAGAAACUAUUCUUAAUUUUCUUCAGGUAUACUAACACUUACCAAUGGAGAUGUACAAUUAUUAGGGAUAAUAUCAGAAACCUCCCUUGAGGUUUCUCCUAAUAUCACUUGAUACCCCUAAGAUUUUUGAAAUAUCGUUUACCUCUCCUAAUAAUUGCAAAAAGAUUGUAUUAACCUCCAUUUGACACAUAAUUCAUAUAUCAAAUAAACGGAACUCAAAAAUUUUUUUUUAAAAAAGUCACUUUUUAUCUUUCUCUUUUCUCCAUCAUUCUUUUCUACUCAUUUUUUGGAUGACUAUACAAUAUUUUAUUUAUAAAUUAUAAUAAAUUAAAUUUUUUAUCUUAUAUUUUUUGUAAUUGUAAUAAAGUGGAGUAUGAUUUAUUUGCUUAUUUUGAGUUGAUUUUUAUAAUGAUUGGUAUAAUUAAUGGUUUAAGCAAAGGUUCAGAAGAUGUUGAAAAAAAAAAAUAAAAGUUCAUAAGAAAUCGGUUUUGAGCAUAUAGAGUUAAAUUGGUGCAAGUGUAUUUCUCUUCAAAUAUCUUUUGUUAAAUCGGUAAGUGAUGUUUUUAAAACCUUGGGGGGUUGCCAAGUGAUAAUAAGGAAAAUCUCAAGGGAGGUUUCUGAUAUUAUCCCAAAUUAUUAAACUAUGUGGCCGUUUAAACUUUACUCAAUCAAAACGAAUUUGAUUUGAUUAUGUUUAAAGCCUAAUAUAUGCAUUUAGAAAGAAAAGUUGCACCAAAGCUUUACAUGCAACGUUAUUAAAGCAGAUGUCAUCAUCAUCUUCAGAUGACAAUCGGACUAGCAGCUGGCGCCGAUCCGUCCAAUAAAUGAUUAGUUAUACUUUAGGUCAAAUUUGAAAGGUAAUGUAAUUUCAUAGGCCAAUCAUUAAGGAUUAGAGCUAAGAAUAUGAAUGAUUACAUGCACUAAACCUUGUGUGUCUCAGGUGGAAUUAGUCAAUAAUCAUACGCGGCGUUGCAGAACCACACCCGGGCCGAAUUAAUCCCAUCCCUCAUUAACCAAUCGACCAGAAAUUAUGCUAAACUGACUAAGAAUCAUCAAGAAAAAUACAAAAAAAGUUAAUAAAAGGUGCGGUCUUGAUCAGCAGGGUAAAGCUACAAAUACGACCAUGCUGUGGACAUCAGCUUUACAUGAAACGUCAAAUAUUAAAGAAGAAAGAAAUGGACAUGUAAUUCCCUCCACCCAAGAUAACUGUAUACAAACCAGACUUCUCUAGUCUAGUAGUAAUUUAAAUUCUAGGAUCCCUUUCCCAACUCCUUAAUUUCCCACCAACAACAUGUCAUAACUAUAACUGAUCUUCGACCCCACAAACCACUACUGGAAAUAUACACAAAUGUGCAAGGCCCUGAAUGAAUUUGUUGGUUAGCAAAAGUCGCACAAAAAAAAAAAAAAAAAAACAAUUCUAGCUAGUUGAACUUGAGUAGUGUAUAUAUUGGCAUUCCAAUUUAGAUUUCAUUGAUUGAUACUGUUUCAUGAAAGGCAAGACACAAACCAUCUUUAUCAGUUUUGAAGUCUAAAAUAGUAGUACUACGUGGGAAGUGGAGUAGGAUAUGAACGGAAGAUGGAGGUUCGUGGACUUCAGUGUCCUACUGUCACGGUUUCGUAACUUUUAACCUAAAAGCUAAGGAAAACAAAAUCGCUAUAGUCAAAAGGACCGAUCAGCCGCGACAGAAUAUUGGGAAAAAAGAGUCGUGGUAGUAGCAACAUUUUCCAACGAGAGACAGAAACACUUUGGUUUCAGGUUAGGAACAGAAUAAGGAGGAUCAGGAUCAUGAUCAGGGUACAAAGAUACAAUACUUGUCUUUCUUCUUUCCCGAAACAAAGAAAGAAAAAAAGCAAGAAAAGUACUGCAUGAAAUUAAGCAAAUUACAACUGAAACCGAGAUGAAAGAUUCUUGAAUUUUGCCUUGAAGUUUUCAUCUGUUCUCUGGGUGCAAUGGGAAGAGUUCUAGGGUCCUAUCUCCCUCAUUU
rnacentral:lncRNA from 1 species